GGAGUCACGCGAAGUCGGAAGUACCAGCUGCGGGAAGGAGCUGCCCACUGUGCGUCUUCUCAACUUGUUGGGACAACCUUCCUGCGGAAAGGAGAGACAACCUUCCUGCAGAAAGGAGCUACCUGCUUCAGGUGCCCACAGCAGAAUCCACAUGCCGUCCAUCUGGUCCAGCCUCACGCAGAGCCACAACUGUGCUGGCGCCUGGAGCUGCCAGCCCCACUGCAGCAGCCGGACUGACAUUCAGACGUGGAGCAAGUUGGACUGCAUAGGGACCCACCAGUGAGAUGGACGCUGUCUGUAAACGGUUCUCCAGGGAGGCUGCUCUGCCAAGUCUGGUAUUUCAUGAAUAGAUCUGAAAACAGACAUUAUCUCUUCUCCCAGUGAAGAGAGAGCGAUGAAGCCUCAGGACAAAAGGAGGCAGUGGGAUGAUGCCACCAAGGGACCAUUCUGAAGAGCCAUCAGCAAAAAGCAGCCACACCUGCUUAUGUGGCUCUGGGACAAAUGAUCUGAGCCGUGACGUGGAACUUAGAUGCAGUAAAGUCCAUUGUAUUGAGCCUUCUCUGGCACUCCUCCCAAAACAGAGAGACAACAGUUCUGUUAUGUUUUGUUUGGUUUGGUCUCCCUCAACUCAUCAAUGAGCCUUUUUAAAAAGAAUAAUUCGGUACUUUCUUUAAAGGUGGUAGAAUUGGCUCUUACUCUAGUCUGUUUUCUCCUUCCUAAGGGAGGAGCAUCCUUCUUGUUAACACAGAACCCCAAACUAUCUGAUCAGAAAGAAAAUAAUUCAAUCUGCUGUUUGAAUUGACUUCCAGCAGCGUCUUAAAUUUUAAUUGGCCCCCGGCCUAAAACAACCUCAAACUGUAUGUCUUCCAUACUCCUCUCACCACCACCAUCACCACUGCCCCUACAACCACUCUAAGCAUAGUACAUAUGGUGAACAUACCAUGAUAUUGAAUGCUAUUCUCACUCUGCCUUCUCUUAAUCUGAUCUUACUCAGGUUCUGACAGUUGACGCUGAAAACAUUUUUUGUUGUUGUUGUGGUUGAGACAGAGUUUCGCACUUGUUGCCCAGGCUGGAGUACAGUGGUGCGAUCUCGGCUCACUGCAACCUCCGCCUCCCGGGUUCAAGUGAUUCUCCUGCCUCAGCUCCCCAAGUAGCUGGGAUUACAGGCAUGUGCCACCAUGCCUGACUAAGUUUGUAUUUUUAGUAGAGACGGGGUUUCUCCAUGUUGGUCAGGCUGAUCUCGAACUCCCGACCUCAGGUGAUCCGCCUGCCUCGGCCUCCCAAAGUGCUGGGAUUACUGGUGUGAGCCACCAUGCCCGGCCAUGACACUGAAAACAUUUUAAAGGAGAAACAGAUUACCAAUUAUCCAUAAAGAUGAGAAUUAUCUGGCAACAUUUUGGUUAGAUGAAAACUGUGACUAGAGAGCUAACAAAAACAAACACAAUGAGCACUAGAUAUCUGCCAGGCAUUGUUCACAGCCCCUUUUUUGGUCUCAUCUGAUCCUUGCUGUAGAUCAGGAAUCAACAAACUAAGCUUUCACCACUUGUCAGGGGUAAAGCCAUGUCAGUCUGAGUCCCAAUGCCACACUGUUAGCCACUCUCCCACACCACCUGCUCCAACUAUUUGAAGAAGGAGAAUGUUUUUCCAGUUAAUAAAGUUAAUAGUUAAAAA
rnacentral:lncRNA from 1 species